rnacentral:lncRNA from 1 species
UGCGGUCCCCCGCGGCGACCUCUCCACUCGCCGUCGCCGUCCGUCGGGGAGGGAGCGUGCGUGCGGUCCCCCGCGGCGACCUCUCCACUCGCCGUCGCCGUCCUCGGCCACUCGCCGUCCCGACCUCUCCACUCGCCUCCUCUGGCCAGCCAACCAUAGUGGCAUCGUUCCUCUGACACCGGUCGGCGCUUCGACUUCGACUCCUACAACCGGCACCUCGACUUGUCAACAUCCUCCGUCGCCAAAUCUUAACCACUACGAGUUCAUCCGGCCAUCGUCGUGAACCUCCAAGCAGAUAUGCCACGCCCUUCAUGUGUAUGUCCCGUUAUAUCUCCACUAUGUUCCUCUCUGUUCUGAUUUUCAGGAAGAAAGUUGAUUGGUGGCCGUUUCCAGUAUGUUUAUAUUAAUUUUGCAAUAUAGAUAUUUGUUCAGAUUCUUCUAAGCAGUGCUCUAGCAGAAGGGUGCUUCCCUUUCCUUACUGUUGUUGCUAAAUAUUUAUUUUUGUGACAUAUGAGGACUGAAUAGCAUCAGGCCAACGACCUCACCCUGGGAGUCCACUUCUUCACGGUCACGACAUCUGCCUUGAAAAAUUAUCUGGAGGUAAUUUAUUUGGUUCCCUCCAUUGGAUGUAGAUGCCCUAUUUUGUGUUGUUUAGUUGUAUGCAGUUCAUGCAAACGUCCUGAAGCAUUUUAUUGGCAUUGGAUAGAGCUGAGAAAUUCUAUUUAUGCUUACAGUUUUGUGUGCCUUUUUUCUAGCAGUGAGUUCCAGAGACGAACGGGGAACUGGACUUUGAGCUGGAGCGGUCAUGUGUUCUUGCACCUGGGGAUUAAAAGCCAAUAUACAAUUUGUUCAUUUUCUUUUAGAGGUAUGUAACAUUGAUUCGUACGAUUAGUUGGUACUUAAGAACAUGGAUACCCACACUUUCCAGGAUGGCUCAAGCUGUUCUGAUAGUUGAUAUAGAUUUAAAUGACUAGGAGAACCUAAGUGGCUCAUUCAUACGCCACCAUUUCCAAUAUAUAUGGGGCAGUUCUUAAACGUGCAAAUGUUCAAGAAAUGAGUGCUCUCAUUUGUCAUGCCAUGGAAGUAUGGUUUGAAGUUUCCUUACUGCAAAGAUUUUUCUUCAACAUCUAUGAGCUGGCUAGCAAAAUUAUUGUAACUACAAUUCACAUCAGAUAUAAGGCGACAAAUAGGGCAUCAUCUAGGUCCAUACAUCUUAAUAUCAUUUUCACUGACGGUUGCUUUGCUAUCAUAGUCAUUGUUUAUGACAGAAUGUAUAAACCACAUGGAGCUUGUGACAUCGGAUGAAGCUAGCGCACGGCGGCAUACAACAGGAGCUAUUAGAGCUGGUUGUUACACGGUAUUGCUUCCUGAAAAUGGGUCGCUUCAUCCUGAGUGUUUUAUCUUUGUCGGGCAUUACAUGCUCAUCCACAUGCUGACCAAUUAGUUAGUGAAAGCAGAUAGGCUUUCCCUUGCAGAAGAACGGCAUGCUCCCUUGCAAAAGAGUAGUAAGCAUAGAAGUACAAAUGUGGACUGGAUUCAAACUUGUCAAAAAAAAAAAACUUGUGGACAUGCAGGAUGUAGAUCUGGAUUUUCUUAGGUUACAUGGAUGUCAUUGCUAUAUUCGAUAUCAUGGACACAUUUAAAAUGUUGCCUGCUGAUUUUGUUUUUGUGUACGACACCCAUCAAAUGUUGUUUGCUUGUACACCCUUUAUGGGAAACAUGAUCUGAUGUACUACUCUUUCCCGGGACAUUGACCGGCUGCCCCUGUGCUAUCUGCACCAACAAAACUCACCAAUGAAAACUGAAUCACAAUUUAAGUGGCCUAAUAAGGCCAACCCAAGAAGUCAAAACUUUAGUUUGAUUCCUCAAAAAGGAUCAAAAAUAAAUAAAUAGAAAAUACCACCUAAUCUUCUUCUAAUCUGAUUUCCUAGGUUGGUCAUCUUGUUGAGUAUAUCCAUUAGUAUUGAGUCUUGACUCGAUCCAAGUCUUUCUUGCCGCACAGCACCGGUGCCAUCUUGCCGCCGGUCUCGACGGCUUCCACAUCUGUACUUGACAUAUAUAACUGAAAUACGACUGAAAGGUCAAAGUGGAAUACGAUCAGGAUAUCCGGAUAUGCAUUUUUUGAGUAGAUUGUACAUGCUAAAUCAACAUAUCAUGUGUAGAUCGUGUUGUAGAGUAUAUAUGCGUAGAUUGCUUGAUUGGGUAGUACCUGCUAAAUCAGUAUCAUGAGAUAAAAUCAUGUACGUAUACAUGAUUGAUUACUGUACUUGGAAAUUGAAAUUCAUAUGUUGAGGUUGAUAUACCUGAUGGGUUGCUGUAGUUGAAAAAGAGAUUGCAUGGUUGCCGAGCGGACUCCAUAUGACGGAGGAAAUAAUCACCGCCAGCGAACAUAGGUAGGAGAGCACAAUUUAAGGAGGAGGAGGUAGCGUCCAUGUAGAGGACUCCAUGAAUAUUUUAACCGGCAGAGUAUUUUAUUGAGAUGGAGCCUUUUACGGGAUUGUGGUUUUCUUUCUCCUUUUUCGUUGGAAGUUUUUUAGGUGAUGACACUUUCCUUUUUCUUUCUUUUUUUGAUCUUGACGCUUUACUUUUUUAUUUCGAGGGAACGGCUGGAGGAUUUUUUUUGUUUGUUUCACUAACGUGGGUCGUGUCAGAUCGUUUUUCAAUGGGACAGGAUCAUUUGUGUUACGCAAGUUUUCAUUCUAUCCUGUACGUAAAUUUCAAAAUCCAACGGUGUAAUUAAUUUUGAUGAUGUGGAUUAAUUAGAGUACUUAAAAGGUGCCUCCAAUUAGUAAUAAGAAGAUGCUGUUUUCUUUUAGGAGGAGAUUUAUCAAGAAAAAAAAUGAAACCUGAACUUGCUUGGUUACUUGGCAACGACCAAGCAUAUGCGUGUGCGUGUGUGUGUUUGUGUGUAGUCAUCAUCUUAAGUUUGGACAAGUGAAGUGGUAGGAUCACAUCUGCACGAUUCAUGUGUCCACUGUGAUUUGCACUGUUUAACUCGCCUAAAAUAUUUGUUUUUUUGGUGAUGGCGAUCGCUUUAAAUUAACCAUAUAUCAAAUGUACAACUAUCAAUGCAUCUACUAGGGAGUUUGACACGGGAUUGCACAAACCUGAACCUGCUCGGUUCAACAUUCAGAUGCUGAACAUGGCAUGCUUCUUAUUUUUUGCAGGGCAUGAUGUAGUGCCCAGGAUGCUCUUCGGAUGGCUCCCAGGAUGGGAUUGAACCCAGUUGAGGUACCACUGCAUUUCCUUCUUCUUCAAUUGUUUGUGCCCAAGUGUUACCAUUUUCUUGAGAUUCUUCUUCAAUUGCUUGUGCGCAACUGUCGGAAUUUCUGUUUUUCAUGGUUUUCUCGUUGCCGCAUGUGCAGGUCCUUGGGAAAUCAGGCCCUCCUGUUUCCAAGAUCAUAGGCUUUCACAAAGACAAGUAUACCAAGGAUGCCAUGGAGAAAGAUCNNN